UACGAAGGGGGCUAGCGUUGCUCGGAAUCACUGGGCGUAAAGCGCACGUAGGCGGACUCUUAAGUCAGGGGUGAAAUCCUGGAGCUCAACUCCAGAACUGCCUUUGAUACUGGGAGUCUUGAGUUCGGGAGAGGUGAGUGGAACUGCGAGUGUAGAGGUGAAAUUCGUAGAUAUUCGCAAGAACACCAGUGGCGAAGGCGGCUCACUGGCCCGAUACUGACGCUGAGGUGCGAAAGCGUGGGGAGCAAACAGGA
rnacentral:rRNA from 1 species